GAUGAACGCUGGCGGCGUGCCUAAUACAUGCAAGUCGAGCGGACGGACGCGAAGCUUGCUUCUUUGUUGUUAGCGGCGGUCGGGCGAGUAACACGUGGAUAAUCUACUUAUAUGUCGGGGAUCACUUCGGGAAUCUGAAGCUAAUAGCGGAUGAUAUUUUGCACCGUAUGGUUGAAUAGUGAAUGACGGUGUUUCUGUAACUUAUAGAUGGAUAUGCGCUGCAUUAGCUAGUUGGUACGGUAACGGCUUACCAAGGCUACGAAUCAUAGCCGACCUGGGAGGGGGAUCGGCCACAUUGGAACGGAGACACGGUCCAGACUCCUACGGGAGGCAGCAGUAGGGAAUCGUCCGCAAUGGGCGAAAGCCUGACAGAGCAACGCCACGUGUGUGAUGAAGGUCUUCCGAUCGUAAAACUCUGUUAUUAGUUAAAAACAGAUGUGGAAUUAACUGUGCACAUCUUGACGGUACCUAAUCAGAAAGCCACGGCUAACUACGUG
rnacentral:rRNA from 1 species